GGCGCUGUGGUGCAGUGGGUUAACACCCUGGCCUGAAGCGCCAGCAUCCCAUAUGAACUGCCGGUUCAAAACCUGGCUGCUCCA
rnacentral:tRNA from 1 species